GAGUUUGAUCCUGGCUCAGGAUGAACGCUGGCGGCGUGCUUAACACAUGCAAGUCGAACGAACCUUCGGGUUAGUGGCGGACGGGUGAGUAACGCGUGGGAAUCUGCCCUCAGGAGGGGGAUAACGGCUGGAAACGGCCGCUAAUACCCCAUAUGCCGAGAGGUGAAAUGAAUUUCGCCUGAGGAUGAGCCCGCGUCUGAUUAGCUAGUUGGUGAGGUAAGAGCUCACCAAGGCAUCGAUCAGUAGCUGGUCUGAGAGGAUGAUCAGCCACACUGGGACUGAGACACGGCCCAGACUCCUACGGGAGGCAGCAGUGGGGAAUUUUCCGCAAUGGGCGAAAGCCUGACGGAGCAACGCCGCGUGAGGGAUGAAGGCCUCUGGGCUGUAAACCUCUUUUCUCAAGGAAGAAGAUCUGACGGUACUUGAGGAAUAAGCCACGGCUAAUUCCGUGCCAGCAGCCGCGGUAAUACGGGAGUGGCAAGCGUUAUCCGGAAUUAUUGGGCGUAAAGCGUCCGCAGGCGGCCCUUCAAGUCUGCUGUUAAAAAGUGGAGCUUAACUCCAUCAUGGCAGUGGAAACUGUUGGGCUUGAGUGUGGUAGGGGCAGAGGGAAUUCCCGGUGUAGCGGUGAAAUGCGUAGAUAUCGGGAAGAACACCAGUGGCGAAGGCGCUCUGCUGGGCCAUAACUGACGCUCAUGGACGAGAGCCAGGGGAGCGAAAGGGAUUAGAUACCCCUGUAGUCCUGGCCGUAAACGAUGAACACUAGGUGUCGGGGGAAUCGACCCCCUCGGUGUCGUAGCCAACGCGUUAAGUGUUCCGCCUGGGGAGUACGCACGCAAGUGUGAAACUCAAAGGAAUUGACGGGGGCCCGCACAAGCGGUGGAGUAUGUGGUUUAAUUCGAUGCAACGCGAAGAACCUUACCAGGGUUUGACAUCCUGCGAACCUCUUGGAAACGAGAGGGUGCCUUCGGGAACGCAGUGACAGGUGGUGCAUGGCUGUCGACAGCUCGUGUCGUGAGAUGUUGGGUUAAGUCCCGCAACGAGCGCAACCCACGUCUUUAGUUGCCAGCAUUUAGUUGGGCACUCUAGAGAGACCGCCGGUGAUAAACCGGAGGAAGGUGUGGAUGACGUCAAGUCAUCAUGCCCCUUACAUCCUGGGCUACACACGUACUACAAUGCUACGGACAAAGAGCAGCAAGUUCGCGAGGACAAGCAAAUCUCAUAAACCGUGGCUCAGUUCAGAUCGUAGGCUGCAACUCGCCUACGUGAAGGAGGAAUCGCUAGUAAUCGCAGGUCAGCAUACUGCGGUGAAUACGUUCCCGGGCCUUGUACACACCGCCCGUCACACCAUGGAAGUUGGCCACGCCCGAAGCCGUUACUCCAACCCUCGGGAGGAGGACGUCGAAGGUGGGGCUGAUGACUGGGGUGAAGUCGUAACAAGGUAACCGUA
rnacentral:rRNA from 1 species